rnacentral:lncRNA from 1 species
CAUUCUUUUCCUUGAGCAGAAAAUCAUGGGCACCCCAGAACUCUUUUGACUGGCAGAAAGCCAUGGGGCAGGUUUUCCAUGAAGGACAGAAAAUGAAUUGACAUCAACUACAUUAACCACCUCUCCUUGGGGGUGGGGGGAGCUCCAUGCCCAAACCUAUAUGUGACAGCCACUCUGAGGUUCCAAGUAUUUAAAUACCCAAGGUGGACUUCAGCUUCUUUAGCCUGGUGACUCUUCUACUCAUUGGCUGAGAGAGCUGCAAUUAUUAUCUACCUUAUUUUCCCCAAUUAAGAUAAGCCAUUACAACAGUCUUGAGAAGACAGGAAAGGCAGCCUAGGACAACCGAACCUCAUGCUUGUCAGCACUUAGCUCCAGCGGCAACCGGAGCUAUGAGAGUACUGAGGACCAGACAAGAGGAUAGAAUCGAUACUUGGCCUAUAGAUGGAGGAAGAGCAAAGCCCAUGGUUCUCAACUGAGUCUUACUUGAAUCUCUAACGACUUGGGGAGCAGCUGAGAAGGUCCCAGGGCUCCGGGCUGCUUUCAGGUAUCCUAUCAGUGGAUGCUCAGAGUGAUUCAGCUCCUAAUUGAUCGGGCCACUGCUACAGUUCCAAGCUCAUUUCAUAGCAGAGGUUUGUUAACUCCAGUCCAGUUCACCUCC